rnacentral:misc_RNA from 1 species
UCCCAUUCGACACGGGCAGUCCGACUAGAGUGCUCAACUGAAUGUAGCAACUAAUGACAAGGGUUGCGCUCGUUGCGGGACUUAACCCAACAUCUCACGACACGAGCUGACGACAGCCAUGCAGCACCUGUGUUCAGGUUCCCUUUCGGGCACCGCUGCAUUUCUGCAGCGUUCCUGACAUGUCAAGGGUAGGUAAGGUUUUUCGCGUUGCAUCGAAUUAAACCGCAUGCUCCACCGCUUGUGCGGACCCCCGCCAAUUCCUUUGAGUUUCAAUCCUGCGAUCGUACUUCCCAGGUGGGAUACUUAAUGCUUUCGCUCAGACACACACAGUGUAUCGCGUAUGUCGAGUAUCCAUCGUUUAGGGCGUGGACUAC